UACCCGGUAGUGUAACGGUAGCACAAGAGAUUUUGGUUCUCUUGGUCCAGGUUCGAAUCCUGGCCGGGUAA
rnacentral:tRNA from 3 species